rnacentral:ncRNA from 1 species
GAGAGCGAUAUGCGCUGAAAGGCGCACGUAUCGUUCGGCGGGAGGCCGACGGAAAAGGACCCGGUUCAAGCGGGCACCUCGCCGGCGGCCUACCCGAC